GGAGAGGUGGCAGAGCGGCCGAUUGCACCGGUCUUGAAAACCGGAGAUUCCGUGAGGAAUCCCAGGGUUCGAAUCCCUGCCUCUCCG
rnacentral:tRNA from 1 species